rnacentral:rRNA from 1 species
AUUGAACGCUGGCGGCAGGUCUAACACAUGCAAGUCGAACGGUAACAGAAAGCAGCUUGCUGCUUUGCUGACGAGUGGCGGACGGGUGAGUAAUGUCUGGGAAACUGCCUGAUGGAGGGGGAUAACUACUGGAAACGGUAGCUAAUACCGCAUAACGUCGCAAGACCAAAGAGGGGGACCUUCGGGCCUCUUGCCAUCGGAUGUGCCCAGAUGGGAUUAGCUAGUAGGUGGGGUAAAGGCUCACCUAGGCGACGAUCCCUAGCUGGUCUGAGGGGAUGACCAGCCACACUGGAACGGGGACACGGUCCAGACUCCUACGGGAGGCAGCAGUGGGGAAUAUGGCACAAUGGGCGCAAGCCUGAUGCAGCCAUGCCGCGUGUAUGAAGAAGGCCUUCGGGUUGUAAAGUACGUUCAGCGGGGAGGAAGGGAGUAAAGUUAAUACCUUUGCUCAUUGACGUUACCCGCAGAAGAAGCACCGGCUAACUCCGUG